rnacentral:lncRNA from 1 species
AUAAAAUUGACCUCGAAAAACACGAUAGUGUGAAAGCCGUCGUUGUAAAAAUUCGAGUAAACUGGAAUAUUACAGAUAAAGCCCAUGAGGUAUUAAAGUAAACAUCCACAACUCUCGAAAUCCUGCAAGAUAGGAUGAUUUUGAAUUAGUGAUUAGGUCUUAUCUGACCAAUUCUUGGAAACUACUAGCUUUAGCAGUAUUUUGGGGAUCUAAAGCCUUAGCUUGUGUAUGGUCCAGAUUUCACCGAGCACCCAAGUAUAAAUUAGUCUUACAACUCUCUAACAGAAACUUAAUAACUUCAACUUAAGUUGCAUACUGACCUAGGAUUUGGGCUGACUUAGUAAUUAAAACUUUGUGUGCUUUUGAAAUUCUUAGCACUUAUGCAUUUGAAAUUAGAUUUUAUAAAACAGUAAAAUAAAUUCUUUAGGUAGAGACAGCAGUUUGUGGGUAUCUGAGCCGGAAAUCCUCACGAGACAAAACUCGUCCACUAGGGCCACCUAGGGGUUUAAAGCCUUAUUGCAUACGGUAAAUGCAAUCGCGAUUCCUGCGAAAGUGAGUUAGUUUUUUAUUUUGCUCGAGGACUAGCAAAAUGUAGGUCUGGGGGUGUGAUAAGUGUUAAAUAAUGCAUAAAUUAAUAUCUUACUCAUAACACUUAUCAUUAUUUUUAUGCACAUAUUUUAAAUUUAAACAUGAGAAAAUAUGUUUUCCUUCAGCAUUUCAUUUUAAAUAAAUUAUUCAAGUUUGAUUGAUUUUCUUUAUUUUAUUGGUCGAGUCUAAUGUAUGCAGGUCGAGUCAAAUUCAUUUGGGAUGAUCCCUGAACCCGAAUGAUACGCACCCCGGUCCAGCCCCACUCCCCUAUUUCUUUCGCAUCCAAUCAAGUUCAAACUUUCGUUACGUUGUACUAUCUAGUCAUUAUCACAUCCGCGAUUAGUUAUUCAAAAUCUUCCUAAAAUUCUACGUGCAAACCGCUUCCACCCGUGACAAUUCCUUCCAGGCAUCACGCACUCCGGAUUGAUCCCAGCUUCUUCCUCUUGCUUCCGGCUCAAACCUCCCGUGUGCGUUUCAUUUGGAUCCAGCAAAUCAUUUUCUCUUCCGUCCGCAUGAACCCAGCAACCGUUAGAUCCCAAGCAGAUCCUCUUCUUCCUCCCGUUCGGAACCAAGACCCAGCCGAAUCCAAACGUCCUCCCAAACCAACCAAUCUUUAUCCAAACUUCCCCAGCUUCACGGAUUAGAACCGGAUCCCAGCUUCUUCCCCAGCCGUAUCCUUCGUCCGUGAUCCACCUUCAUCCCAAUCCGGAUUUCUUCUCAGCCACAUCAAGCUAACAACAGCAUCCUCUUCCCCUGUUUCGAAAUAGCAACCUUCUUCCGGAUUAAUCUCCACGUCACCUCCUCCCAGAUUUCAUCUGCAAUCAUCCCAUGAUUUGGCUUCAUCCCAUUCGAAUCAAACACUCCAUCCAAGCUUCACGGAACAGAGCAUCCUCUCCCGGAUAAGCUCAAGUCCCAGCUGCCAGCCGCCCGCGUCUUGCAUCACUCCCCUGUUCCGAGAUCUUCUCACACACCCACAGCCGAAUGAUCCCAACUAGAUUCCGCUAGCUCCCAGCCUUCCUAUCAUCAUCCAAGCCCCAUCCUCUUCUCCGAAUAACAUCCAAGAUACGUCCCAGUUCCCCUGUUCUGAAUUCAUCUUUAUCCCACGGAUCAACCAUCAACCGAAUCAUCCCAGCAUCCAAACCAACCGAGAUCCUUCUUUCUCCCAUGGGAUAAGCACCAAAUCCAGCAGGACUUCAUCUUUUGGAUCAGCUUCCUCGGCUUCAUCCUCCCGAGCUUCACGACAUCCAAGUUUUUCUUUCCAACUUAUGGAUCAACUCCAUUCUUCCGAAUCCCUGCAUCACAGAAUAGAGUAUCCCAACCUCCUUCCGGAUUCGCCAUCUCAGCGGUUCUCCGUGAUUCAUCCAUAUCCCGCGCCCGAGUUGAAGCUCCCUCCUCUGCGUGUCCGGAUGAAAGCCAGCACAGAUCACGCACACCAAGCUUCU